rnacentral:rRNA from 1 species
AUACGGAGGGUGCGAGCGUUAAUCGGAAUUACUGGGCGUAAAGCGUACGUAGGCGGUUGGUUAAGUUAGAUGUGAAAGCCCCGGGCUUAACCUGGGGACUGCAUUUAAUACUGGCGAACUAGAGUUGAGUAGAGGGGAGUGGAAUUUCAGGUGUAGCGGUGAAAUGCGUAGAGAUCUGAAGGAACACCAGUGGCGAAGGCGACUCCCUGGACAUAUACUGACGCUGAGGUACGAAAGUGUGGGGAGCAAACGGGAUUAGAUACCCCAGUAGUCC